rnacentral:rRNA from 1 species
ACUCCUACGGGAGGCAGCAGUGGGAAUAUUGGACAAUGGGCGCAAGCCUGAUCCAGCCAUGCCGCGUGAGUGAUGAAGGCCCCAGGUUGUAAAGCAUCUUUCAUCCGGUGAAGAUAAUGACGGUAACCGGAGAAGAAGCUCCGGCUAACUUCGUGCCAGCAGCCGCGGUAAUACGAAGGGAGCUAGCGUUGUUCGGAAUUACUGGGCGUAAAGCGCACGUAGGCGGACUGUUAAGUCGGGGUGAAAUCCC